GAGGGUAGAGCUCAGUGGUAGAGCACGUGCUUAGCAUGCAUGAGGUCCUGGGUUCAAUCUCCAGCAUCUGCA
rnacentral:tRNA from 1 species